ensembl:lncRNA
AAGCCUAGGCAACAUAGUUCUAUUUUUAUUAGCAUCUUGUGAUUUUUGUCCCUGACUUCUAUUCAAAGAGGUCUCUGGAAACAUGUUUAUUUUAAGAUCAGCGUCACAACAUACUUCCUAAUGCAAAAUGUCUUCUUUCCCUGUCUGACAUUAAAAAUGCAAUCCCUGAUGUCCGGCAGAGGUGCUUUGGAGCGCACCACAGCUUUGCUUACAGAGAGAACAAGGCUAUCUGAUGGUAUAGGUCUGCUCUGCAAUUGUGGCAUUGUUGUUAUGCAUAUAGUAGGGCAGGUUAUAAAUGUGUACUACCAAAUGCUGAUACUGUAAUUUUCCAUGGCAUAGCGGCCAUUUUCUAUAGUCUACUUUAUCCUUGUUGAAGGUGAGCUGUUGGGGUAGGUUAAAAUGGCUGCCCGUUUAUGGGGUACCAUUUGUCCCUGCUCCAGAUUGCCAUUAGACCAUGAUGUUGAGAUGAGACCACCUCUUCGUAACAAAAAUAUCAUUUUCCAUAUACCCUUAGUUGAAUACUGCCCUAGAGGCAUCCCUAUUGCACCCAAUUGCUUGUUCAACUACAUUACAUCUACGUGUUUUAAUAUUGAAACUGUACUCAUUUUCAGUCUCUAUAUUUCAACUGACUGUCCUAAGCAUCACAUUCUACAUAUUACUCAGAAAAGGCAGGGAAGAACGAAUAACCUAAUGACAGAGGUGCCACGAUUACAAUAUGGCUGGCAGCAGACAGAGAAGAGAAGCCUUGCGUAUCGCUGGGAAACACAGCCUCCUGCCUCCCCGUCUGACAGGCCUAUGUUGUCAUGGCAACAUGCUGUGGCGCAGCACUUAUUGGGAUUCAGAUUCAGACGGAUGGCGGGGCUGGUGGGCGACUGCAUUAGCCGUCCGGGGAUUUGGUUUGGUCCUUCCUCGCAGCGAGCCCUGCCUGUCUGAGAGCCACAGCACCACAGAGCUCCCAGGCUCCAACACCACCGCAAUGGAGGCUCGCCGCCCUUUGUUUCCACUCUGGAUAUGUAUCAGUGUGUGUGUGUGAGUCUGCAGCAGAAAUGCAGCAGCCGAUGGACUUUUCUCUCUUCUGCUUAUGGCAGGCGAUGUGCUUCAGCCAUGAUGCUGAUUUCCCCUGGUUUGUGCCGCUUUCCUUGUAUUUUCAUCUGGAAAUUGCCCGCAUAUCUGCGGUUUCAGUUGAUUCUUUUCAAUAAGGGCUGAUAUGACCAAUUUUCUCUCAUCUUGAUGUGCUUUACUCUGUUCACACAUUGAGCGGAAAUGUUGAAUUUGUCAUGAACGGUUGUCUCUUUGCCACACCCUAGUUCACUGUGCCUUAGAAUGUCAUGCGAUAUGCAUUUCAAAAUCUUAAAAAUUAAAAUUCCCUAAUUUCUGUGAUCCACAAGGCGAGAACAAAACUGUCUUGAAUACAAGCUGUCUAGUCAAACAAAGAGCGAAAAUGGCAUAGCAGAACCCAGUCAAGCCACCCCAUGCAAUAUGUGUAUUUCCGUUAAAGAUAGAUUGUAGAUUGGUUGGAAACGUGCAGAACAUACCUUUGCGAAUCAGCUAAAAUUACACAGAAGGCGAACAGCUGACACAGAAGGCGAACAGCUAAAAACAUUACGCAGUGUCCUUCCACUAUAGUUCAUAUUCUCUACCGUUCAGGAAAAAAAACUUUUGUGAAAGGAAGGCGAAAGUAGGCACUUUUUUUUCUAGACUCGUCGCUGCUCAGUGGUGCCGUUGGAGGCAGAGCAUUCGCUGUUGUCUUUCUUUCCUCCUCUCCCUCUCUCAUUCCCUCCCUCUCUCGUUCUACGCUGCUCACUCUGAUUCAACGUCCUUCGUCUCUCCCUAGGUCCUGGUCGAGUACUCCCGCACUCUCCUCUUCCACCCAGUCCUGUCCUGGCUUGCCCCAGCUCUCAGACCAUUGACCACAGGAUUCCCACAUUGAAGUUUAAAAAUAGCUAGACUGGACUAUGGGUCUGUCUGCUGCCUCUGUGCUGCCCGGGCAACUGAAGCCCAGCGGCAUCUACUUUGCAGUCGCCAAGCAGGAAACGGCAACUUUAUUAAUCAUGGCUGAGGACGGUAAGAGAGAGCGGCUCAGUGCUACAUCACAGCACUACGCCGUGCUGCAUAGAUCACAGAGAAAACACCUAGGUUGCACGCCUGCUACCGGGGUUACGGCGAUACAACGUCAACCAUACCACAAAGUGCACCCACAAUCACAUUUAUGCUCAACUUCUACACCGACACCAUUCAUACUGUAUCUCACAGUCCAAAAGGGAAGCUGGAUCUGUAGCUCACUUUCAAACACAGUCACAUCACGCUCUCCAUCUGUCUCAUGCCUAUGCACACAUGCACUUUCUCUUUGUGUGUGCUACUGUGUACACUCAACCCUCUCUCGCUCUUUGUCAGCACAUCUGUGUGCAUUGCCUCAUGAACAUGAUAAGCCUACAAAGCUUGUUUGUAUAUAGCAGCAUAAUCAAUGAGAUAUCUGUGACUAUAUAUGGUUUAUUUCUCUCAUCUACUUCUACACUUUCAAAGUAAGAGAAAGUGAGAGAGAAAAAAAGGAUGUAGAAGAGAGCAGGGGGAGAGGAGGACCGUCAUCUUUGUGGAGGCUGCUGAUGGAUGGGAACACAGAGGGAUGCCUCAGCACUGCAGAGUGCAGGAGGGAGGGGCUAAACCAGGCAGGCAGGGCAAUGCUAGCCCCACCAGCUGCUGUAGAUGCACACAGAUGCUUUAUGCGUAUGAAAGCGGAGGGGUUUUAUUACAAGUGUUAUUGAAUUUGCAAACGUGUCUUUGCUUUCUUUCCGGGGUCAGUGAUGAGGCUUCUGCACCCGGGUGUGAAUUCCAUGCACAUUUUACAUUUACUUGGUCUCACAGAACAGAUUUGCCUCAUGAAAUGCAUGGAAGACAUUUGUUGUGCACUUUCUACCAGUGUUCGUUCAGCUUAUCAAGAAAAUCCCCAUGCCUCUGUCCCCUCCUGCUUUCUGUGCUUUCUCUCUCCUCUGCUCAUUACUAGUCACAUGGCCUUGUGUUGUGAUUGAGACGCACACAAUUAACCACAAGCUCAGCCGUCUGCCAGCUAUUUCUGGUGCAGGCCUACCCGGCUUGAUUGUUGACAUUACCUGCGUGCGAUCAAGGCCCCUGUCUGCUUGCAUUGGCCUGGGUAAGCAGUACACCAGCCUGGAGCACGCCAGCCCUCACACUUCUGUAAGCCGCUGCACUUUGGCAUGACCUUGUUGCUGUGGCAACCUUUGAAGAAAACAGUGCUACCUUAACAGCAUGGUGGUAUGAAACAGUAAAGGUUGCGAACCUUACACGUUCUGGGAGGGAGCCUCUUAAAGCCAAAGGAAAUAUGAUUUGACAUGUUUGAGUGGCCACUAUCAUGCCUUUAUCUCAGUUUUUCCUCUGGUGUCUUUCCGUUCUCUUCCUUCAGUGUUAAGACAUUCCUGCUAUGUAUGGUUAAUGGUCUUGCCUGCUUCCUCCCCACUUUUCCUGUAUUUGUAGUCUUGCCUGCACAAUCGAUUUCCACUGGUGCACUGCAGGGGAACUCAACAUCCCAAAACAAAUAAUAAGUCUAGCCCUCCUUUACAUCCAUGCUGUUUUUUUUUUUUGUUUGUUUGUUUUUUUUACAGUUUUGAGAAUUGCAAAUUAAGUGCCUGCAGUACCUACUGUUUGUCUCAAUUACCACAACCCCUCUCCCACAGUAUGUGUUAGUACUUCGAAUGUCUUGCAAACAAAGAAUACAUAAAGAGCGGUUGAAAUUUGAACAAAUCAUUUGGACAAAUUUAUAUUGCUAUGAAAACAUGAUUAUUUGUGGAUAUUGGAGAAAUUAAAAUGAUCCAACCUGCUGAUUCAUUGUUGCCAUUC